rnacentral:rRNA from 1 species
GUCGAGGUGUUGGGUUAAGUCCCGCAACGAGCGCAACCCCUAUUCUCAGUUGCCAGCACAUAAUGGUGGGCACUCUGUGGAGACUGCCGGGUUAACCGGGAGGAAGGUGGGGAUGACGUCAAGUCAUCAUGGCCUUACGCCUAGGGCUACACACGUACUACAAUGGUGGGUACAAAGGGCAGCGAAACCGCGAGGUCGAGCGAAUCUCAAAAAACCCACUCAUAGUCCGGAUUGCAGUCUGCAACUCGACUGCAUGAAGUUGGAAUCGCUAGUAAUCCCGGAUCAGCAUGCCGGGGUGAAUACGUUCCCGGGCCUU